UACGGAGGGUGCGAGCGUUGUCCGGAAUCAUUGGGCGUAAAGGGCGCGUAGGUGGCCACUUCAAGCGUGCGGUGAAAGUCGGGGGCUCAACCCCUGAUCGGCCGUGCGAACUGGGGGGCUGGAGCACUGUAGAGGCAGGCGGAAUUCCGGGUGUAGCGGUGGAAUGCGUAGAGAUCCGGAAGAACACCGGUGGCGAAGGCGGCCUGCUGGGCAGUAGCUGACGCUGAGGCGCGACAGCGUGGGGAGCAAACAGG
rnacentral:rRNA from 1 species